rnacentral:lncRNA from 1 species
AGGCUGAGGCGGGAGAAUCACUUGAGCCCGGGAGGUGGAGGUUGCAGUGAGCCGAGAUCGUGCCAUUGCACUCCAGCCUGGGCGACAGAGUUAGACUCCGUCUCAAAAAAAAAAAAAAAAAAAAAAAAAAAAAAGUUUAGGGACUCCUGUAUUAUAAAUUUUACCUUUUGCAAUUUAAUAAUACGUUGAUUAUUUCCAUCACCAUGGAGUUAAUAGAAAAUAAGACACUGCUUUAUUUAUUUUUAAAUUAUUCCACAUACCUCAUAUAUCCCAAGCUUCAUUUUUCCUGAUUAGAUCUUACCAUGUAUCUGGUUAAAUAUAUUUGUGUGUGGAGAAAGAAAGAGAGAGAGGGGGAGAGAGAGAGAGAAAGGGAAUGUAGCACAGGUUUACACUUGGUCAAUUCAGAUAGAGUAUAUGAUGUCCGUGUGUUACUCUUUCAACUUUUCUAUAGGUUUGAAUAAUAUAAAAAUAAAUAAAUUUAAGAAACUGGUAUGUGAGCAGUUCAAAGACUAUAUUGAUCAUGUUAUCUCUCCUUUUCUUCCUUUCUUUCUCUCUUUCUUUCUUUCUUUCUUUCUUUCUUUCUUUCUUUCUUUCUUUCUUUUUCUUUCUCUUUCUUUCUCUCUCUUUCUUUAUCUUUCUUUCUUUCUUUCUCUUUCUUUUCUUUUUCCUUCCUUCCUUCCUUCCUUCCUUCCUUCCUUCCUUCCUUCCUGAACUGACCCUAAUUGCUCCUUUCUCUCUUAUACUGUCAUCAAUCCUGAGACAGAGAGAACAGGACUGGGCUGGGAAAGAUGAGAAUUCAUACCCCCUCUGAGACACCUACUCUCCCUUGGGCAUCCUCACUAAUUCAAACAUUGCUUAUAUAAAAGCAGAAUGCGGUCGGCGCAGUGGCUCACGCCUGUCAUCCCAGCACUUAGGAAGGCUGAGUCGGGCGGAUCACGAGGUCAGCAGAUCGAGACCAUCCUGGCUAACGUGCUGAAACCCCAUCUCUACUAAAAAUACCAAAAAAAAAUUACAAUUAGCUUAGCGUGGUGGCGGGCACCUGUAGUCCCAGCUACUUGGGAGGCUGAGGCAGGAGAAUGGCGGGAACCCGGGUGGCAGAGCUUGCAGUGAGCUGAGAUCAAGCCACUGCACUCCAGCCUGAGCAACAGAGCAAGACUCCGUCUCAAAAAAAAAAGUAGAAUGAAAUUUGGAUUUUGGUUUUAGAAUAAUUCAGUGAGCAUUUAUUACAUAAAUGCCAAGUCUUAAUGUUUUAACAUGUAUUAUCCAUUCUAAUCUUCACAACAAACAUACAAGGUGGAAUCAUCAUAACUCCUUUCAGAUGAAAAUAUGGUAAUUCAUAGAGAUUAUAAGCACGUUUGCUAACAAUCAAAUAACUCUUCAGAAAAUUGGGAAUUGAAUCUGUCUCCCAGGAUUUCAAAAGCAGUUCUCUUACUAUUUACUUAGAAGUUCCUAAAUUCAGAAUUUAAAAUCAGGUGGGCCUGGGUUUGAAUUGCUUGCUUCCUCUGAAUAGAAACAUAAGAUUGAACAGGUUACUUCUCCAAUCUGAGCUUCAGUUUCUCAUAUGUAAUGAAAACGUAACUUGCCCUGCAAGAUUAUGACAAUUAUAUAUAUUGUAUCAUAAAUGCUUAGUUAUAGGUGCUUAGCAAAUGAAAUUAUUUUCAUUAGAUUCUUGAGAAAUAGCCUCAACAUUUUCAAUUAUUUUAUUGUGGAAGACCAUUUUUUAAUUUCAGGAAUCUAUAUUUCCUGAUGCCAAAUAUGAUUAAAUAAGCUAUU